rnacentral:rRNA from 1 species
GACGAACGCUGGCGGCGUGCUUAACACAUGCAAGUCGAACGGUGAACUCAGAGCUUGCUCUGAGGGAUCAGUGGCGAACGGGUGAGUAACACGUGAGUAACCUGACCCAGACUCUGGAAUAAGCGCUGGAAACGGCGUCUAAUACCGGAUACGAGACAGAGAGGCAUCGCUACUGUCUGGAAAGUUUUUCGGUCUGGGAUGGACUUGCGGCAUAUCAGCUUGUUGGUGAGGUAACGGCUCACCAAGGCGACGACGGGUAGCCGGCCUGAGAGGGCGACCGGCCAAACUGGGACUGAGACACGGCCCAGACUCCUACGGGAGGCAGCAGUGGGGAAUAUUGCACAAUGGGCGAAAGCCUGAUGCAGCGACGCCGCGUGAGGGAUGACGGCCUUCGGGUUGUAAACCUCUUUCAGCAGGGAAGAAGCGAAAGUGACGGUACCUGCAGAAGAAGCACCGGCUAACUACGUGCCAGCAGCCGCGGUAAAAC